AGUGAACGCUGGCGGUAGGCCUAACACAUGCAAGUCGAACGGCAGCACAGUAAGAGCUUGCUCUUACGGGUGGCGAGUGGCGGACGGGUGAGGAAUACAUCGGAAUCUACUUUUUCGUGGGGGAUAACGUAGGGAAACUUACGCUAAUACCGCAUACGACCUACGGGUGAAAGCAGGGGAUCUUCGGACCUUGCGCGAUUGAAUGAGCCGAUUUCGGAUUAGCUAGUUGGCGGGGUAAAGGCCCACCAAGGCGACGAUCCGUAGCUGGUCUGAGAGGAUGAUCCGCCACACUGGAACUGAUACACGGUCCAGACUCCUACGGGAGGCAGCAGUGGGGAAUAUUGGACAAUGGGCGCAAGCCUGAUCCAGCCAUACCGCGUGGGUGAAGAAGGCCUUCGGGUUGUAAAGCCCUUUUGUUGGGAAAGAAAAGCAGCAGGUUAAUACCCCGCUGUUCUGACGGUACCCAAAGAAUAAGCACCGGCUAACUUCGUG
rnacentral:rRNA from 1 species